rnacentral:ncRNA from 2 species
AUAUAGAUGCAGGGGUGCCGUAAAGGCUGAGAGGAAAUUUUCUAACCCUUUGAACCUGAUGUAACUAAGAUUACCGUAGGGAGCAUUAUAAUGUGUAUA